GACGAACGCUGGCGGCGUGCUUAACACAUGCAAGUCGAACGGAAAGGCCCUGCUUUUGUGGGGUGCUCGAGUGGCGAACGGGUGAGUAACACGUGAGUAACCUGCCCUUGACUUUGGGAUAACUUCAGGAAACUGGGGCUAAUACCGGAUAGGAGCUCCUGCUGCAUGGUGGGGGUUGGAAAGUUUCGGCGGUUGGGGAUGGACUCGCGGCUUAUCAGCUUGUUGGUGGGGUAGUGGCUUACCAAGGCUUUGACGGGUAGCCGGCCUGAGAGGGUGACCGGCCACAUUGGGACUGAGAUACGGCCCAGACUCCUACGGGAGGCAGCAGUGGGGAAUAGUGCACAAUGGGCGGAAGCCUGACUCAGCAACGCCGCGUGCGGGAUGACGGCCUUCGGGUUGGAAACCGCUUUCGCCUGUGACGAAGCGUGAGUGACGGUAAUGGGUAAAGAAGCACCGGCUAACUACGUG
rnacentral:rRNA from 1 species